UACGGAGGGGGCUAGCGUUGUUCGGAAUUACUGGGCGUAAAGCGCACGUAGGCGGCUUUGUAAGUUAGAGGUGAAAGCCCGGGGCUCAACUCCGGAAUUGCCUUUAAGACUGCAUCGCUAGAAUUGUGGAGAGGUAAGUGGAAUUCCCGGUGUAGAAGUGAAAUUCGUAGAUAUCGGGAGGAACACCAGUGGCGAAGGCGGCGACCUGGGCCAAUACUGACGCUGAGGUGCGAAAGCGUGGGGAGCAAACAGG
rnacentral:rRNA from 1 species